rnacentral:rRNA from 1 species
UUGAUCCUGGCUCAGAGUGAACGCUAGCGGCGUGGUUAAGACAUGCAAGUCGAACGAUGAAGCCCAGCUUGCUGGGCGGAUUAGUGGCAUACGGGUGCGUAACACGUGAGCAACCUGCCUUGAAGUGGGGAAUAGCCCGGGGAAACCCGGAUUAAUACCGCAUGUGGUCUCUUUUCGCAUGAAAAGACGACUAAAGUUUGUAAUGACUCUUCAAGAGGGGCUCGCGGCCUAUCAGCUUGUUGGUGAGGUAAAGGCUCACCAAGGCAAAGACGGGUAGCUGGUCUGAGAGGAUGAUCAGCCACACUGGAACUGAGAUACGGUCCAGACACCUACGGGUGGCAGCAGUUUCGAAUCAUUCACAAUGGGGGAAACCCUGAUGGUGCAACGCCGCGUGGAGGAUGACGGCCUUCGGGUUGUAAACUCCUGUCACCAAGGAACAAACGGCAGGUUCAUAGCCUGUCCUGAGUUAACUUGGAGAGGAAGAGGUGGCUAACUCCGUGCCAGCAGCCGCGGUAAUACGGAGACCUCGAGCGUUACUCGGAUUCACUGGGCGUAAAGAGUAUGUAGGCUGUUUGGUAUGUCAGGUGUGAAAGCCCGAAGCUCAACUUCGGAAUUGCGCCUGAAACUACCGGACUUGAGGCCUGGAGAGGGGAGUGGAAUUCCUGGUGUAGCGGUGAAAUGCGUAGAUAUCAGGAGGAACACCAAUGGCGAAGGCAGCUCCCUGGACAGGUUCUGACGCUGAGAUACGAAAGCGUGGGUAGCGAAAGGGAUUAGAUACCCCUGUAGUCCACGCCGUAAACGUUGCACACUAGGUUUCGGAGGGCCUACCCCUUCGGAGCUCAAGCUAACGCGAUAAGUGUACCGCCUGAGGACUACGGCCGCAAGGCUAAAACUCAAAGGAAUUGACGGGGGCCCGCACAAGCGGUGGAGCAU